CCCACCCCAACUCCGCCCGCAGGUAAGCGCCUGACGGACGCGUGGUUUCCUCCCCGCCCACUCCGGCCUCUGGGGCCGGGCGUGGCCUCGGUGCGACAGGACGGGCUUCGGGUCUGACAGCGCGCCGGUCCCUGCUCCGCCUCCUCGGGUCCUGGAUUCAAGUCCUGCGAACCGGCUUUGUCCCCCGAGCAAGGUGAAGAAGAAGAGAAGCCCUGGGAUCAUGCGAAUCUUCUGAGUGCUGGGGAGGAGGGGUAAAAAGACCCCCAGCUUGGGCCUGCAGACUCUCACUGCUGUAUCCUCCCUCACAUCCCUGUUCCUCACCAGCCUUGCCAUGUGGCCUCUUUGGGAGCAGCUGGGUGUGGAAAACACCUUUCUGGAAAAUC